rnacentral:rRNA from 1 species
UACGUAGGGGGCAAGCGUUGUCCGGAAUUAUUGGGCGUAAAGAGCGCGUAGGCGGUCCGAUAAGUCGGCUGUGAAAGUCAGGGGCUCAACCCUUGGAAGCCGGCCGAUACUGUCGGACUAGAGUCCGGAAGAGGCGAGUGGAAUUCCGAGUGUAGAGGUGAAAUUCGUAGAUAUUCGGAGGAACACCAGUGGCGAAGGCGGCUCACUGGCUCGAUACUGACGCUGAGGUGCGAAAGCGUGGGGAGCAAACAGG